UCUGUUCUCAAAUGUUUGCCAACCCAAAAUAAUAGACGCUGGAAUAAAAAACGAAAAGAGUAAAACAUCUGAAAAUUGUGAAACACAAAAAAGGGUUUUCUCGAAAGCAAAAGUGGAUUCGACAAAAUAGAUCAGAUUCAAUCGAUAAUCGAUCAGACAAUUCCUUUUCUCGAAUUGGAAAAUCCAGCUGAAGAUCCAUAAUCUAUCUGUGUUUUUGGAGUUUCCGAUGUCAUCUUCAAUGGCGUUUUAGUAAAGCUUGAAAAUCUAUAAACGAAUAUGGGUCUUCUUUCAAAGAUUUAUAUUCAAGAUUCUGUUUGUCCUAAUUAUCUGAUUUUGUGGAAAGUCAGGAAAUUGGAUCCAGAACAAUUAACCAAAGAUAAGUAACGAUACCCAUUUCUUCAUUUCUAAAUACCUAUGAUCCAAGUUUUAAAAACUCUAAUUUUUAAACUUUCCUCGUCAGGCUUAAAUUACUUUCAAGAAGACGAUGAUUAGAGACAACAAUUGGAUUGUAAUUUAACUUAUAAGUAGCCGGAGUUUUGGAUUUCUUUUACCUGGCAAGUAGGGAAAAAAUUCGUCUACAAUGGAUCACUAAGGUUUUGAGUGGAGCUUGAAGAUAUACAAUCGAAUUGAGUCUUUCUUUGAAAGGAAAACUAAUGAAGAUCACUAAAUCAAAGAUAAGUAACGAAACCCUCUUCUUGAUUUGUAGAUGCCUCUACUACAAUUUUUUAGAACUCUAAUGUUUAAUUUUACUUGGUCAGGCUAAAAUUACUUUCAGUAAGACGAUUAUUCGGGAACAAAUGUGUUGAAGGUUGACUUAUAAGAAACCGGAGUUUUGGAUUUGUUUUCCCUUGCAAGUAGUUUACGAAUUAAAG